UGGCAGCGGGAAGAAGGCUUACAAGGUUGCUGGGAAGCUCAAAAGUGCUCUCGACGACGACGAGGACGAGGACGAGGACGACGAGGAUGUUGACGACGAAGACUCUGAUGAG
rnacentral:SRP_RNA from 1 species